CUCACUAUCGGAUCGUUUUAGAAACAUCAGUGGCCAACAGAUCGCCAGAUCGUUGAGCUGCAUUGGCGGGAUUUCGCCGUCUUCGUUUCUCUUUCUUCGCGGACGAACACGCGCUGGGCCUGCAACGGCAGGAUCCAGGGUCCUUAACGGGAUGUGCGUUAGGGGCUUGUAGCUCAGUUGGUUAGAGCGCGCGCUUGAUAAGCGUGAGGUCGGAAGUUCAAGUCUUCCCAGGCCCACCACUUUCAUCGAGUGAGCAUUCGUCUUCUGGUUACGGGGCCAUAGCUCAGCUGGGAGAGCGCGUGCUUUGCAAGCAUGAGGUCGUCGGUUCGAUCCCGUCUGGCUCCACCAGAUGGUUUGAUCACCGAGAUCUUGACCGUCGUCCGCGAAACAUCACUUCGCAUCCUGCUAGUCUGGAUAGACAGCAGUUUGCGUGUUUUCUGACAUCGUAAAGAGGAGAUCGAUCCGAGUUGGGUCGUGCAGCAUAUCGUUGCGCGAGCCUUCAUUAUCUCCGGAUCAUUUCGGCGCUCGCUUCCAGCCGUGAGGUUGGAUGCGGGUUGUAAAUGAUCCUUUUAGCGAAGCUUGACCGCCUCGCUAUCGGAACGAUCUUACGAAGCAAGCUGGUCUUUCUAGUCAAUGUCCGGCUGCGGAUAGCGUUCAUCGAGGGCGCGUGCCGCAAGGCAAUUCUGCAGACAACAUUCUGCCGAGUGUGUGGACAUUGAUAAUGAGAGCAAUCAAGUGCCUUAAGGGUGUUCGGUGGAUGCCUUGGCGCUGAGAGGCGAUGAAGGACGUGCUACGCUGCGAUAAGCCGUGGGAGCUGCGAAGA
rnacentral:misc_RNA from 1 species